GCAGGUAUGUAACUUACAUGGUGCAACCCAAGACUGAACCACUACCUCCAAGACCAGUGAUGCCAGAGAUAAGGCCGCUGUUGACUCUCUCCUGGAUUACUGUCAGGAACUCCUAAUUGAUCCCUCUGCUUCAAGUCUGUUCCAAUUCAAUCACUCUCCUCCCCAGAAAGUGACCUUCCAAAAUAUGUCCUGACCACUCCUCCAUACUACUGAGGAUGAAGCCCCACUUGGAGAAGUAACCAAGAAGGCUGUAAGACCAGAAGACUCCAG